CUGUGGGCGGUGUUUCCUGUGGACGGUGUGCCAUCACAUACUCCUGCACAUCCGCCAUCAGCAUGGUCAAUAUUUCCAAGGGUACUGGUUGCGGCAGAAACUCCAUCCUGGUUCUCAUCUCUCUUUGGUAUGGGGUUUUCUCCAUGGCUGGUGGGGGUGUCACGCUGUGGGCUCUGUCUCCCUCCAUCAAUUCGGCAAUCAGCACUGCUUUCGGCUUGUUGCUGGCUAUCUUUCCCCUGGUUUCCAGCAGUUCCUUUAGUGUCUGCCUUUUUAAUGCAGUGUAAUCUGUCCCCAUUCACUUUAGUGUUCAGUUCUCUGCUGCAUCCGAAUUGCCAUUCACUUUUCCCGUUCGGUAGUUUCACUUCAUCUGAACGCUGCGUUUCGGCUGUAAGGUUGGAUCCUGUCGCUUGCCACCAAUUGUAGCGGAGCUGCAAUAUUAAAUUCCACGAUCUCCGCUGGUACAGAAGGUAAUCA